GCUUCUCGCUGACGAGCGGCGGACGGGUGAGUAAUACUUAGGAAUCUACCUAGUAGUGGGGGAUAGCACGGGGAAACUCGUAUUAAUACCGCAUACGACCUACGGGAGAAAGGGGGCAGUUUACUGCUCUCGCUAUUAGAUGAGCCUAAGUCGGAUUAGCUAGAUGGUGGGGUAAAGGCCUACCAUGGCGACGAUCUGUAGCUGGUCUGAGAGGAUGAUCAGCCACACCGGGACUGAGACACGGCCCGGACUCCUACGGGAGGCAGCAGUGGGGAAUAUUGGACAAUGGGGGAAACCCUGAUCCAGCCAUGCCGCGUGUGUGAAGAAGGCCUUUUGGUUGUAAAGCACUUUAAGCAGUGAAGAAGACUCCAUGGUUAAUACCCAUGGACGAUGACAUUAGCUGCAGAAUAAGCACCGGCUAACUCUGUGCCAGCAGCCGCGGUAAUACAGAGGGUGCAAGCGUUAAUCGGAAUUACUGGGCGUAAAGGGAGCGUAGGUGGCUCUAUAAGUCAGAUGUGAAAUCCCCGGGCUUAACCUGGGAACUGCAUCUGAAACUGUAGAGCUAGAGUAUGUGAGAGGAAGGUAGAAUUCCAGGUGUAGCGGUGAAAUGCGUAGAGAUCUGGAGGAAUACCGAUGGCGAAGGCAGCCUUCUGGCAUAAUACUGACACUGAGGCUCGAAAGCGUGGGUAGCAAACAGGAUUAGAUACCCUGGUAGUCCACGCCGUAAACGAUGUCUACUAGUCGUUGGGUCCCUUGAGGACUUAGUGACGCAGCUAACGCAAUAAGUAGACCGCCUGGGGAGUACGGCCGCAAGGUUAAAACUCAAAUGAAUUGACGGGGGCCCGCACAAGCGGUGGAGCAUGUGGUUUAAUUCGAUGCAACGCGAAGAACCUUACCUGGUCUUGACAUAUCUAGAAUCCUGCAGAGAUGCGGGAGUGCCUUCGGGAAUUAGAAUACAGGUGCUGCAUGGCUGUCGUCAGCUCGUGUCGUGAGAUGUUGGGUUAAGUCCCGCAACGAGCGCAACCCUUGUCCUUAGUUACCAGCGGGUUAAGCCGGGAACUCUAAGGAUACUGCCAGUGACAAACUGGAGGAAGGCGGGGACGACGUCAAGUCAUCAUGGCCCUUACGACCAGGGCUACACACGUGCUACAAUGGUAGGUACAGAGGGCAGCUACACAGCGAUGUGAUGCGAAUCUCAAAAAGCCUAUCGUAGUCCAGAUUGGAGUCUGCAACUCGACUCCAUGAAGUAGGAAUCGCUAGUAAUCGCGGAUCAGAAUGCCGCGGUGAAUACGUUCCCGGGCCUUGUACACACCGCCCGUCACACCAUGGGAGUUGAUUGCACCAGAA
rnacentral:rRNA from 1 species